rnacentral:rRNA from 1 species
UAGGGAAUCUUCCGCAAUGGGCGAAAGCCUGACGGAGCAACGCCGCGUGAGUGAUGAAGGUCUUCGGAUCGUAAAACUCUGUUAUUAGGGAAGAACAAAUGUGUAAGUAACUAUGCACGUCUUGACGGUACCUAAUCAGAAAGCCACGGCUAACUACGUGCCAGCAGCCUCGGUAAUACGUAGGUGGCAAGCGUUAUCCGGAAUUAUUGGGCGUAAAGCGCGCGUAGGCGGUUUUUUAAGUCUGAUGUGAAAGCACACGGCUCAACCGUGGAGGGUCAUUGGAAACUGGAAAACUUGAGUGCAGAAGAGGAAAGUGGAAUUCCAUGUGUAGCGGUGAAAUGCGCAGAGAUAUGGAGGAACACCAGUGGCGAAGGCGACUUUCUGGUCUGUAACGGACGCUGAUGUGCGAAAGCGUGGGGAUCAAACAGG